AGUUUGAAUUAUCAUCAUUUGUUGUAUUUUUAGGUUAAACCUACUUACUUGGCCUAGUUUCAGCGUUAAAAACAAUUUAAAAUAAACACUCAAGCAGGACAAUAUCCACUUUGAUGAGUUUCAAGUGAGAAUUAGAGCAACAGAUUUUUAAAUGGCGUCGUUUUCUAGACUAAAUAAAAUAGCUUUGUUAGGCUUAGGCGCUGUAGGUGGUACUUUAGCUUAUUAUAAUAUUGGUAAAUCUGAGAAAAUAUUCCAUGUUCAAAAUUCAUGGACGACGAAUUUCACGCCGAGUGUGAAAUGGGAAAAAAACUGGGACCAUCGUGAACCCGAAUCAAUCGUUAAACCAGUUCGGUCAAGCAAGCCAGAAGAUGAAAACAGGUACAACGAGCAGAUUGAAAAAGCAAAGAGCAAAGCAGUGAGGCACUUGUUCCUUAUACGUCAUGGUCAGUAUAACAUAGAGGGAGCAACGGACAAGGAGAGAAUCUUAACAGAAUUGGGCAGACAGCAAGCAGAUCUAACUGGUCAAAGGCUGGCUAAUUUAGAUAUCAAGUGGGAUCUAUUGGUUCGAUCAACAAUGACCAGAGCUCAAGAGACAGCUUCCAUCAUAGCAAAACAUCUACCCAAAGAUAUAGAGGUUAAAGACUGCCAACUGAUCGAGGAAGGUGCUCCCAUUCCUCCUGAACCUCCAGUAGGGCACUGGAGACCUGAGCCAAAGCAGUUCUUCCAGGACAGCGCGCGCAUCGAGGCGGCGUUCCGGCGGUACUUCCACCGCGCGCCGCCCGAGCAGGCGCACGACUCCUACACGCUGCUCGUGUGCCACGCCAACGUCAUCCGGUUCUUCGUGUGCAAGGCGCUCCAGUUCCCGCCGGAGGGCUGGCUCCGGAUAUCGCUGAACCACGGCUCGAUAACGUGGCUGUCCAUCUUGCCGAACGGCAACGUCGUGCUGCGCGCGCUCAGCGACACGGGACACAUGGAGCCCAAGUACAUUACCAGCCGGUAAAUAGCAGGUGCUAUCUUAUAUAGAUAUUGUAUUCGUAUAUAUGUCAUGUAUGACUGUUGUAUGUAGUUGUAGCUCGGGUAUGAAAUAGCGAUGUAUUAAUGUUGCCCGUUCGAAUAUAUUCAUGUGACAGCUAACCCUCUAAGAAACUGGGUGUACGUCAGAAAGCCCCAUAUCUUGGUGUGUUCUGAAUUUUCGUAUACAAAUGUAUUUCGACGCGCAGAUAACGAAUAUGAUAUAGUGAUAUUUAUUCUGUGACAUUAUCUCAUUUACUAAAGAACUGGCUUGAUUGUCAGUUUUACACUCUUCCCGUUACUGACUUCCCGAGAGUGUCGAAACGACUGACUACACGAAAUGUAUUGAAAAAAUUGUUUCUCCAAAAUCAAUAUUUAUUACAAUGAACGUGAAAAAGCGUAAUUUUGUAUCAUCACCAUGAAAAUGAAAUUGCAAUUAUUUUGUAUUAUCAUACGUUUAUCAUAUCGUAAUAUAUAUAUGUCUAUACGAAAACUCAGAUCAAUCGAAGCUCAGGGGUUUUUAGAGGUUUACCGGAAACGUUGUGUAGUAAGGCUGCGGUCAAACUAUAUGGUACCCGGAAUCCAUAACUGCAAAUUAAGGCCGGAAUUAUAUCUAUUAGCAUCGAUUCGCAUUUAGCUAGGUGGUUUUGGAUGCACGUAGCAUCAAUUCAUACCCGCUAUAGCUUAAAUGUAACGUUGGUUGCUACUUAUUUAUAGUAAGGCUUUUUGUGCAAGCCUGUCUGGGUAUGUACCACCAAAGAACAUUACUUAGUAAUGUUGUGUUCAGGAUUGAAUUGAGCGAGUGUUGGUGACUCAUUGACGAUGAAGGGAAUUGCUGACAUUUGUUACAGCGCCAAUUUCUAUGGGCGAUGGUGACCACUUACCAUCAGGUGGUCCAUUUCCGUCUGCCUACCUAUUUUAUAUAAAAGAGUAAUAAUACGCAAUAUAAACAUGCGAAAGCUGAAUUCAUGCCAAAAAAAACUAUUGCGUACGCAUUUUCAUACAAAACGGCUAUUUUCGGUAAUAAAACGUGAAUCUAUGCAGAUUUUGUUUAUAUAUAGAAUAGGAAGGCGGACGAGCAUAUGGGCCACCUGAUGGUAAGUGGUCACCAACGUCCAUAGACAUUGGCAUUAUAAGAAAUGUUAACCAUAGCUUACAUCACCAAUGCGCCACCAACCUUGGGAACUAAAAUCUCCCCCGGCCUCUAAAAAUACACUGGCUCGCUCACCCUUCAAACCGGAACACAAAAAUAUCAAGUACUGCUGUUUUGCGGUAGAAUAUCUGAUGAGUAUGUGGUGGACCGACCAAAUAAAAACAACUCUUGGCGGUCCUUUGCAUGAAUGCACCAGGCUCACCACUAACAGGGACAUAUGGCGAAGGCGUGAGGCGAAUAACAUCUGCGCCGAAUAAUACAUAAUACUUCAUAGCGACCACGACCGCUCUGACAAGAGUGUCACGACGAAGAAGAAGAAUGUGGUACCCAGACGAGCUUGCACAGAGCCCUACCACCAGUAAAUAAAUAAAUAUAAUUCAAGCCCCAAUAUUAGUCAGAGUAUUAAAUUGCCACAUAUCACCUAACUAUUAUAAUUAUAUAAUAUAAAUAAUAACAUAUAAAUGAAUAUCCAUAUUAGAUCUUUAGCGAUAAAAACUAAGUCAAUUCCUGUGCCACUAAUAUAUUUAACGAUUUCCGCGUAAACACGUGAUUGAACGUCGUAUUGCUAUUUGGGGGAUAAUAUUGCUAUAAUAAUAAUAAUAAUAUCCGUGGACAUUUUUCACACACGGCCAUCUGAUCCCAAAUUAAGCUUGUACAGAGCUUGUGGUAUGGAAGCCAGACAACUGAUAUACUACAUAUACUACUUUUCUUUUGUAAAUACAUACUUAUAUAGAUUACACCCAGACUCAGAACAAACAGACAUGUUCAUGCACACAAAUGUCUGUCCUGGGUGGGAAUCGAACCCACGAAAAGGCAAGUAUCUACCAACCACGCCAACCGGCUCGUCAAAUUGCUAUCAUUUUAUUUAAUCUAUAUUAACGUGUACUGCUUAUUCGGCAUUCAUUUCUGCCCCAUUGGUCUUAUGAUAAUGCUACUAAUUCUGAGGUAAAAAUCCGGGCUAGCUUGAUUGUCAGUUUUACACUUUUGUCACAUCCUGCUGUACCACCACACUACAAUACUAAGGGAGGAAGUUCACACACUCAUACAAACACACAGACACACACACACCUGAUUGUAUCUCAUGUCUCGUGCGCCGAUCUAGUCUUGAUAUAUUAAAAUAAGCCACCGUGUUCGAAAUAAGUAAAUUCGUUUUUAACACUAUUGAAACAUAUACUAGUCUCUUUCAUGCAAACCAAUUUUUUAUUCAUUUAACAUAUAUCCGUCUCGUUUUCACCCUACUACCCUUCAUACCGCAACUUAUUGAGUCUUUCCACCAAUUAUAAUGUGGAUACUGUUAUUUAUUAUAUAUUAUAUUUAUUAUUAUUUUUUUCUUUAAUUGAAAACACGGUGAAAAAAGCCGAGAUGGCCCAGUGGUUAGAACGCGUGAAUCUUAACCGAUGAUCGUGGGUUCAAACCCGGGCAAGCACUGAAUUUUCAUGUGCUUAAUUUGUAAUUAUAAUUCAUCUCGUGCUUGACGGUGUAGGAAAACAUCGUGAGGAAACCUGCAUGCGUCUAAUUUCAUUGAAAUUAUGUCACAUAUGUAUUCUACCAACCCGCAUUGGAGCAGCGUGGUGGGAUAACCUCUAAACCUUCUCCCCAAAAAGGGAGAGGAGGCCUUAGCCCAGCAGUGGGACAUUAACAGGCUUGUACUGUUAUUAGCAAC